rnacentral:lncRNA from 1 species
AGUGGCGGGAGCCGGGCAUGGGGUGCCGAAGGAGGCCUAGUGGCAGACGUUCUGGCGGGAGCCGGAAAAGAAAGAGCUGUACUGUACUGGUAGAGGGAGAACCGAGGGUCUUAGGUCGACUGUGAGCAAGCUGAGAGAAUUGAAGAAACUGAGGUUCCUAACUAAGGCAGACACUGGAAUUUCUUGAGGGUGGUUAGAAAAAGUGAAGAAGUUCCUGCAAGAGUUUUAUUAUGAUGAUGAGCUUGGAAAGAAGCAGUUCAAGUAUGGGACCCAGUUGGUUCAUCUGGCUCAUCGGGAACAAGUGGCAUUGUACGUGGACCUAGAUGAUGUAGCUGAAGAUGACCCUGAGUUGGUCGACUCAAUUUGCGAGAAUGCCAAGCGCUACUCGAGGCUGUUUGCUGACGUAGUACAGGAGCUUCUGCCUGAGUACAAGGAGAAGGAGGUGGUGAAUAAGGAUGUCCUGGAUGUUUACAUUGAACACCGAUUGAUGA